GCUGGGCAUGGUGGCACGGCCUGUAGUCCCAGCUACUCGGGAGGCUGAGGUGGGAGGAUCGCUUGAGUCCAGGAGUUCUGGGCUGUAGUGCGCUAUGCCGAUUGGGUGUCCACACUAAGUUCGGCAUCAAUAUGGUGACCUCCGGGAGCAGGGAACCACCAGGUUGCCUAAGGAAUGGUGAACCGGCCCGGGUCAGAAACGGGUCAGGUCAGAACUCCCAUGCUGAUCAGUAAUGGGAUCACACCUGUGAAAAGCCACUGCACCCCAGCCUGGGCAACAUAGUGAGACCCCAUCUCU
rnacentral:SRP_RNA from 1 species